UACGUAGGUGGCAAGCGUUGUCCGGAUUUACUGGGCGUAAAGAGCGCGCAGGCGGUCGUUCAAGUCGCGUGUGAAAGCCCCCGGCUCAACUGGGGAGGGUCACGCGAUACUGAUCGACUCGAAGGCAGGAGAGGGUAGUGGAAUUCCCGGUGUAGUGGUGAAAUGCGUAGAGAUCGGGAAGAACAUCAGUGGCGAAGGCGGCCUGCUGGGCUGUUGCUGACGCUGAGGCGCGACAGCGUGGGGAGCAAACAGG
rnacentral:rRNA from 1 species